GCUCCUCGUAAUAACCUGCGCGCCAAAACUUCACGAACUGGGUCUUCUUCUUCCUUUUCGAAGAUGGCCUCGGUUGUAUGUUCAGAUGAGACACAUCGACAGACCCCCUUCCGACACGAAGGACCAGGGGCCUUAUCGAUGAAAAAUUCUUCGGAGCCCUUGCGCCUGCGCCAUUCGUGUUAUGUAAUCUAACCAAGAAAACUAGAAGGAGAUCAAAGUUACUACAGUUAUAAUGUACUUCUAAAAAAACCUUUACUCUUCACUGUUUAAAACGGAAAGACAUUACCGAUGCUUCUCGUUUCUAAGCCGAAACUAAGCGGUUGUUCUCUUCGGCUUCUUUCGUUGAAUGGAGGGCUGCCUAAACAGUAGCGUAUUUGGAGCCCUUUGAAAUAGGGAUCAUCAUCGAUUAAAUGCAUGUAAUAAUCUUUAAAUUUUAUCAAUGUUUAUAUGUUUCAUUCUUUCUGACGAUCCAAAUGUCAUAAUACAAUACAUACACACAAAUAUAUGUACAUGUAUGCAUUUAAAUUUGACACUUUAAAAGAUUUAUAUUCACACAAAAAAUUAUUAUUACAAUUUUUCAUUCUUGUUAUAAUACUUGCACAAUAAAAUAGGAUCGAUCUUGGACUACAAAAAAUCAUUUGCAUGCAACAACAAAAAAUAACAAAAAAAUAAAAUAAAAUGUGCGUUUAUUAUUCAAAUAAAUUCACAGAUAUCAUAUUAACAAUUAUAUAAAAUU